rnacentral:lncRNA from 1 species
ACGAUAAUAGAAAAAAUAGAGCAUACAGAGAAUAUACUGUAACAUGCUCAUUAUGAUAUGCAUAACGUAAUAUUACAUAUGAAAAUAAAUAAAAUAUAUUUUUAUUGUACUUUUUCACUAUACGUAAUUUCUUUGCAACUUCAAACGAAGAAUUAGUACGAUGACAUACUUAUUAGCUUUAAAACAAUAUAAUUUUACUUUGCAAUGAUCCUAGACCAAUUAUUACUAGUGAAGAGGCUCGCGCUUCGCAGGGAAUAGAAAUAAUUAAUAAUAAAAGAAUAUCAAAUAUUUUUUUAUGUAUAUCAUUUGCCACACCUGUCAAAGGUUCUUUGUUGUUGGCGGUGGGGAUAGAACCGAUGAUAGCUUCUCUGGUGACAAUGAUAGUGAUGGUGAUGACGAUCCCUUCGGCGCAAUGGAGAGGGAAGGCGCGCACACAUCAGUGAGAAAGAGAGAGGAAGGGAGGGAGGCAAUGAUUUAGAGGAAAAAAUGAGGGAUGGAGAGGUGAGGAUUGUAGAUAACGACAGAUCGUUUAGAUAGAUUAAUUGAAAGUUUGAUGGAGAAAAUCGGGAAGGUUAUUAUGAAUUAAUUAGAAAUAAAAAUGUGAUAAUUAUAAAUGGUAGUGAAAGGUAAAGGAAAUGGGAAAGAGUUAUGAUGAAUUAAUUAGAAAUAAAAAUGUAAAGAUUACAUAUAGCUAGGAGCAGGUUAUGAUGAAUUAAUUAGAAACUAGCGUAGACUUCCGCGCGAUGCGGCGGAUAAAAAUUUUUUUAAAAAAUUAAACUAUAAGAUGUGCAUAAAAGAAAUUAUCAUUUGCCAAUGCAAAAAUAAUUUUUUUUUU